CGGGGUGUGGCGCAGCCUGGUAGCGCACUCGUCUGGGGGGCGAGGGGUCGGAAGUUCAAAUCUUCUCACCCCGA
rnacentral:tRNA from 1 species